GGACUGCUCGGGGUUAGGCUGGGCAUCGGUCAGCGAGUGCAAUGCCACACAAUCAGUGUCCUGAUUUUUCACCAAUAUCAUUGUGAUAAAUAGAAGAUGGCUGAAUGCAUCCAUUCUAGGCCAGUCAGUAGUAAGAAAUAAGAUUGCAGGCACGCCUACUGAAAUCACUCAACCAACUGAAGAAACAGAAUGAGAUUUGGAUUAUAGGGUUUCAGAUAAUACCAAGUCCCUUGUGAAAGACAUAUAUCUGUCAAGCUCAUGAUUACUAAAUGUGAUUCUGUCACAUUUAAAAAAAUGUAUCUGUGACAAAGAUGAGAUGACUGUGAACGAGGCCAAUGACACUGAGCUACAGCAGGACAGAAUAAAGCAGAAGCCAGGUAUUCUGUAAGGAUAAUAUGCCUUAGACAGAAGAAAGGCACUUAUAUGGAAAAAUGUACUGACUUUAUCCAACUAAUUAUGUUUAGAUAGCUCUUUGAAUUCUGGUGACUUGAGUUCAAGUCCCAAACGGACUUCUGAUCAGCAGGGUAGCUGAUUUCUGAAUAAAGAGAGAGAAAAAAUGUGUAAACUUGGUGAAGUGCUCCACAAGCUCCAGCUUGCAAACCUCGCAGAGAGUACAGCCCAUCCAGCUCACAGACUCUCACCUAAUACAACAUGCUGUAAGUUGUGAAGAAAUGUGUUUAAGUAUAAAUAGUCUCUACUGGCUUCAGGAAGUAAAACUGUUCCCUUAGUUUAGUCAACACAUUGCUUGCUGGGGAAGCUGAGAGGCCAAUGUCCUAGGCUCACCAGUGAUUUCUCCCUGUAAAAUGAAAGUUAGCAAUAAUUGUGUGUAUAAUAUUGUCUAUUAGGUGGUGCAUAAAGGCUUGCAUUGUAUGUACAUACUGUAGUUGUAUAGAAAACAUUACAGAGUGAGCCUGCUUUUAGCUUGAUGCCUCAUACAGUGGUAAUUAAGGAGAACAGCCUUUUGAUUUGCUACUAUUUGCAGUUCUGCAGGAAAAACUGAGUUUAGGCUAUCUUGUGCUGUGCAUUGUUGCCAUGUUUAAUCUUCUGAUUCGCUAGGAACAAUUACAUGCGACACCUAUGGAGAAUUUAAUUGCUUAGCUCCUGCCUCUACGGCAAUUGUAAUUAUGGUGCAGUACUAUUUGGAAAAAAAAAAAAAAAGAAAGAAAAAAGAAAAAAGUGUGGUGUUUUUUAGAACAUAGCACUGAAUAAUACCAAGGUUAGAUUUAUACAACAGCAUAGUUCCAAGAAUUAGCUUCCAGAAUUAACCCUGUGUUUCUUUUGAUGAGAGGCCAGGCAAAAUAAAGGUUAUUGUAAAUAUCCUCAGUAAAGCUUUCCGUUCAAGUCUAUCCAAUGCAUUUAUCCUCCCAAUAUAUGUGGGAGUUAGCACAGCGUCUUUUUUUCCCCUCCUUUUCCAGCUGAGGAAACUAAGGGACAGAAAUGUGUUGCCUGAUUUGUCUUUAUGAAAAAUCCAAAGGAGAACAAAUUAGUAUGUGAAAAAAUUUGAAUUUAUAGCAUUCCCAAGCUACUUUUACUUUUCAUGGGUAUAGCUUUGAAAGAAACAUAAUAGGCAAAAGGCCUUUUUAAGCUCUAAAACCCAAAAAUUUCUGUAAAAUGAAACAUAAUAAAUAAAUGAAUAAAUGUUGCUGUGUACUAUUCUGCUGAUAAUUCCUGUUGAGCAGAAUCAAAGAUGUCAUUGUCUGAAUCAUUGUGCACAAUCCCAACCAAAGGAGGUGGUAGGCAGGAUUAUCCUGUUGCAUUCUGAAGGAAAUUUUAAAGAGCAUCCAGAGGGAACUACUGUAUUAGAAUUUCAUUUCCUCCUUAUAGAAAAAAAAAAAAAAAAAAAAAAAAGAAUAAUCAUUGCUUCAUUUGCAGUAAGGCAUUUUUAUUUCUUUCAUCACCUAGAUGAUUUUCAGAACUGACCUUGAUGGCCAUUCAUUUCUCUUGUUGGGAAGUCCUCUGGAAGCUUCACAAAUUUAGUGAAGCUAGUAGUCUUUUAGAAGUGGGCACAGAUCAAAGUCAGUACCAGUACCCCACAGAAUAUAGCCUAUCCUGACUGAAAUGUUUAUGACACUUAAUAGUAAUGCUGAGCUUUAUUUCUCUCAAGUAAAAACUAAUUGUAUAGCAGUGAAAUUCACUCACAAUUUUCCACAGGUUACUUGUUCACCUUCAACAGCUGCUAUGGUCUCCUUUAAAUGAUACACAACGUGGCCAAACAUGUGACCUAUACAUAGCAAAAAGGCAACCCACUCCUUUGGUAAUUAUACUGUACAAGAAAUAUAUGUUUAAGAUAACUACUAAGUUUUUCUCCUUGCAACCUAUCAAACAUAGAUUUAGUCAUGCCAGAGAAGGUAUAAUGCUGUAAUUGCCUGUAAGAAUCUUGCUAGCAUUUAGACAGUGUGCUGCAAAAGUAAAGGUGCACAGUAUACCCCUGCAGAUCUGCUUCUGUGAUUAACCUGAGAAAUUUUGUAUGAGAAAAAAAGUUACUAAGAGAACUGUGUUUUCUUCAGAUAAUUAUUAACUUCUUUUGAUACUGACAUCAACAGAGCUGACAAGAUCUCUUUGAAAGUCAAGAUUACCUUUCUGGAAGUUUUGCAUCUUUUGUCAUUAAAAGAAAAAAUACCUAUGUUGACAUUUUAAGUUUUUCUCAUUUCAUAUUAAAAAAGCAAAAGAUUUGAUGGAAGAUACUUUGAAGGUCACAGGGAACACAUGUCAUACAAGAGCCACUGUAUUUUGUUCCACGCUGUAUAUCCUUUUUCUUUUUUCCUUUUCAGUCAGUAACUCUCUAAAUGCAUUUAGUUAUGACAUUAGGUAGUCAUUUAACUGAAUUAGCAGUUCCACAUAUGAACUAUCCAUACAUAUUCUCUCCACCUUUUAUUGUGUUGCAAAAAACUUCAUCUGGAUUGGGACAUCACUGCUCAGAUUUUCCACUCAACAUGAUCUGUGUGUUCAAAGCCAACAUGAUGAUCUCACUUAGAAUCUUCUAAUAUCUUCUGAUAUCAUAAAAUAGUAUAGGAAUUGUUUUCUGAAGACCUGUA